GAUGCCAGACGGCCGCAGGCGGGCAACCGCCUGAGGAAAGUCCGAGCACCGAAGGGCAGGAUGCCGGUUAACUGCCGGUGGAGGCGACUUCAAGGAAAGUGCAACAGAGAUAUACCGCGAACUCCCGCAAGGGAACGCAAGGGUGGAAAGGCGAGGUAAGAGCUCACCAGCGGCUUGGCGACUUGUCCGCUCUGUAAACCCCAUCCGGUGCAAGAUUGAUAGGGAAGCAUAUGUGGCGGCCCGUCACGCUUCCGGGAAAUCGCUUGAGCCCGCUGGCAACUGCGGGCCUAGAUAGAUGGCCGUCCAAUACAGAACUCGGCUUAUAGGCA
rnacentral:RNase_P_RNA from 1 species